rnacentral:rRNA from 1 species
UACGGAAGGCAGCAGUGGGGAAUAUUGGACAAUGGGCGAAAGCCUGAUCCAGCCAUGCCGCAUGAGUGAAGAAGGCCUUCGGGUUGUAAAGCUCUUUUAGUGAGAAAGAUAAUGACGGUACUCACAGAAGAAGUCCUGGCUAACUCCGUGCCAGCAGCCGCGGUAAUACGGAGAGGGCUAGCGUUAUUCGGAAUUAUUGGGCGUAAAGAGCGCGUAGGCUGAUUAGUAGUUAAAAGUGAAAUCCCAAAGCUUAACUUUGGAAUUGCUUUUUAAAACUGCUAGUCUAGAGAUUGAAAGAGGAUAGAGGAAUUCCUAGUGUAGAGGUGAAAUUCGUAAAUAUUAGGAGGAACACCAGUGGCGAAGGCGUCUAUCUGGUUCAAAUCUGACGCUGAGGCGCGAAGGCGUGGGGAGCAAACAGGGAUUAGAUACC